rnacentral:lncRNA from 1 species
CUCCUGCUCGCGGGCCGCGGGCCAGUGCUCUCUUGCCGAGUGUUGGUUUAUUUUAUGACCGUCAGAGCUGGUCACCGAGGUUAAGGGUGGUUGGGCUGCUGCUAAGAACCACUUCCUAUCGAGCAGCAAACAGAUGAUCAAGAAUUAUCAGUCGGCGAGCACGACCCUCAUCGGCUCCUGUCCAGCCAAACCCUGCGUGUGCCUCCUGACUUCUGAACGGAUGGACGGCAAGACCCACUGAGUCUACCUUUAAAGGACACACGACUGAGGGUGGGGCCGAGGAUACGGAGAAACUACUAUCCACCAACGAGGCCUCAUGCACACUGAUUAAGAACACAUCCUGGGACAGAAAUGUUAGCGUGGAAAAAGUCACGCAGGCGGCCUGCAGCUCAUCUCGAAUGGACUCAUCCAGGUGGCUUGACCUGAGGUCGUGGACUGGAGUCAGAUCUGCUCUAUGUGGCCCAUCCCGGGACCCAGGCGGCCCUGUCUGCAGCCUGCUCGUCUGACGGCUCACUACCAAAGCGCAAGGGCCAAGGCGAAACGCACAAACGCAGGUAAGGCCGCUUCACGUCCUGUCCACUAACAUGCCAUCGGCUAGAGAAAAUUUUCGGCUAAGCUGAGCAUCAGGCGGUCAGGAAGACAAACUUGACUCACACAGGGAAAGGGAAGGAAUAAAUAUUUGCUUAAUAAUAAUCCA